GACUGGACUGGACCUGAGGUGCUGACCAGGCAAGAUGGGGAACAGAGCAAAACCGAGGCAAAGUAGGAACCCAAAGUGGGAACAAGUCAAAAUGGACAGACCAACAGACGUUCUAGGUGCACAGAGUGGAGCUCCUGACGCAGAAGCUGAAGCCAUGGGGAACUUGGAGGCAAGGAUUCCAGACUAGAUGUUGAAGCCAGCCUAGAAGUGCUAAGAAACCAGAAGAGUCCAUAGGUGCUAGCCCAGUGGAAUUUUGAACUUGAACUUGGUGGGAUUAAUGCUAUGUAGAAAUUAAAUUGAGCCUAAUCCCCCUUCCCUACCAAAGACCCAGGUGGUAGAGGGGAUUAUACUACCAAGGUAUUGGGGAAAAUGUUUAAAUGCUUAUUCUUGCUAUAUCCUUGAAGUAAAUAUUCCUUUGUGAA